GACGAAGGUGGCGACCGUUGUUCGGAAUCACUGGGCAUAAAGAGCACGUAGGCGGCAGGGUAUGUCGGGUGUGAAAUCCCUCGGCCUAACCGGGGAAUUGCGCCCGAAACUACCUUGCUUGAGGAUGGAAGGGGAGCGUGGAAUUCCUGGUGGAGCGGUGAAAUGCGUUGAUAUCAGGAGGAACACCGGCGGCGAAGGCGACGCUCUGGUCCAUUACUGACGCUGAGGUGCGAAAGCCAGGGGAGCAAACGGG
rnacentral:rRNA from 1 species